CUGCUUUUCGGGAACCCUACUGAAGAGCACGUGGCCUGGCCUUGGCAACACUGCCUGGAGUGCAGGUCUUCACCAAAAGCAAUGGUUCACCUGACUCCAGUCACAUUUUCCACAACCGGAACAACCCUGAAAAUAAAAGAGAAAUUAAAAAUUAAACGUCUGAACUGGGUGACAAGCAGAACAUAUUGCAACGAGCCAGGGAUGUCAGAAGUACCACACUGACUGCAAGAAACAAAGAGGAAAAGAAGCAAAAUGUUUGUAUCAGUGAAUAUUCCACCAGUGCAUACGAGAUCCUUCGACAGCCUCUUUAAGCCAUUAUUCGCAAGCAGCCAAGGAUGGCACCUCCCCAGAGCCAUACCCCAGCACAGAUGCUGGGCACCUGUCCCUUUACACCUGGGGGCUCCACAGUCUACUAUGAUCUCAGUACUUCUGGGCAACCAAGAGAAAAGAUACCUAAUCCAUUUUGAAUUUGGAAAGCCCCUCAUAAGA